rnacentral:rRNA from 1 species
GACGAUGCAAGUCGAACGCUUUGUGGUUCAACUGAUUUGAAGAGCUUGCUCAGAUAUGACGAUGGACAUUGCAAAGAGUGGCGAACGGGUGAGUAACACGUGGGAAACCUACCUCUUAGCAGGGGAUAACAUUUGGAAACAGAUGCUAAUACCGUAUAACAAUAGCAACCGCAUGGUUGCUACUUAAAAGAUGGUUCUGCUAUCACUAAGAGAUGGUCCCGCGGUGCAUUAGUUAGUUGGUGAGGUAAUGGCUCACCAAGACGAUGAUGCAUAGCCGAGUUGAGAGACUGAUCGGCCACAAUGGGACUGAGACACGGCCCAUACUCCUACGGGAGGCAGCAGUAGGGAAUCUUCCACAAUGGGCGAAAGCCUGAUGGAGCAACGCCGCGUGUGUGAUGAAGGGUUUCGGCUCGUAAAACACUGUUGUAAGAGAAGAAUGACAUUGAGAGUAACUGUUCAAUGUGUGACGGUAUCUUACCAGAAAGGAACGGCUUAAUACGUGCCAGCAGCCGCGGUAAUACGUAUGUUCCAAGCGUUAUCCGGAUUUAUUGGGCGUAAAGCGAGCGCAGACGGUUAUUAAAGUCUGAAGUGAAAGCCCUCAGCUCAACUGAGGAAAUGCUUUGGAAACUGGAUGACUUGAGUGCAGUAGAGGAAAGUGGAACUCCAUGUGUAGCGGUGAAAUGCGUAGAUAUAUGGAAGAACACCAGUGGCGAAGGCGGCUUUCUGGACUGUAACUGAGCUU